GAACUGAAGAGUUUGAUCAUGGCUCAGAUUGAACGCUGGCGGCAGGCCUAACACAUGCAAGUCGAGCGGAUGACGGGAGCUUGCUCCUUGAUUCAGCGGCGGACGGGUGAGUAAUGCCUAGGAAUCUGCCUGGUAGUGGGGGACAACGUUUCGAAAGGAACGCUAAUACCGCAUACGUCCUACGGGAGAAAGCAGGGGACCUUCGGGCCUUGCGCUAUCAGAUGAGCCUAGGUCGGAUUAGCUAGUUGGUGGGGUAAUGGGACC
rnacentral:rRNA from 1 species